rnacentral:lncRNA from 1 species
CUAUCCACCAUACAAAGAAUUAUGACCCAGUUCACGAUCCCUAUGGCUUCCACUACAUGUGCCCAGUCUUUAGGCAUUGUUUCAGGCUUUUACUCUGAAAAAUGAGGGAGAAACACCACUUUCAAUGAGAGGACAGUGGAAAUUUCCAGACAUGAGUCCUUCGCGUGACCGGGAGCGUGCCUUUCCUCUUUUUCCUUUUCUAUUGACAAAGCUAUUGUCCGGUUGAAAAGUGAUCGAUUAUAUAUGACAAAAACAACCUGAGGAUUGAUUAUAAACAUUGUUUGACAUGUUUCUACGAACCUUUAUGAUUUUUCGUCUGUCUGUUGUGACCACGGUUUGUUCCAAUGGAUUACUGAACAAAAUGGAGGAUUUUGGACAUAAAAAGGGACAUUAUCGACCAAAAUAAACAUUUAUUGUCUAACAUGGAGUCUUUGGAGUGCAACCAUAUGAAGAUCAUCAAAUGUAAGGGAUAAAUUUUAUCGCUAUUUCAGACUUUUGUUACUCCUCUUCUUGGCUUCUCAGAUAAUCGCAUGGUUUGAUUUCGCCGUAAAGCCUUUUUGAAAUCUGACACAGCGGUUGGAUUAACAAGAAGUUUAUCUUUAAGCUGGUGUAUAACAUUUUUAUCUUUUAUGUAUGUUUAUUAUGAGAAUUUCCGUUUUGUUGAGUUUCACGCUCUGCAAUUUCACCGGAUGUUGUUUGAGACAGUGGAUUACUGAACAAAAUGCGCUAACAAAACGGAGGUUUUUGAAUAUAAAGAGGGACUUUAUCGAACAAAACAAACAUUUAUUGGGUAACUGGGAGUCUUGUGAGUGUAACCAUAUGAAGAUCAUCAAAGGUCGCUGAGGCACUCUUCCAGCAAGUCUUCCGGCAUUAUGGCUUUCCAGAGGACAUUGUCUCCGACCGUGGCCCCCAAUUUACAUCAAGAGUAUGGAGGGCCUUCUUGGAGAAGCUCGGGGUCAGGGUCAGCCUCACUUCCGGGUAUCAGCCUCAGUCCAACAGGCAGGUGGAGAGGAUGAGCUGGGGAGGUUCCUGGGGAGUCACUGUCAGGACCGGCAGGGCUGGUGGUUCCUGGUCCCCUAGCUGAUACUGCCCCCCACGACACACCUCCACCCCCUUGGACAUCGAGUGGAGGUCCGUUGUACGCUGUCAGAUCCCUACUGGACUCCUGACGUCGUGGGGGUCGGCUCCAGUAUCUGGUGGACUGGGAGCGGUAUGGCCCAGAGGAGCGGUGUUGGGUUCCGGUGGAGGACAUUCUGGACCCCAACAGCCGUGAUUUCCACCUUCGCCAACCGACCCACUCCUUGUUCUCGGGUUUCGGCAUCGUCCUACGGCUGUAGCCGCGCGUCAGAGGGGGGGUACUGUCACGUCUUCUCCUACUCCUCACCUCCAGCGUACGACUUCGCCGGAAUACUAACCACCAGUCCUGGGAUUCAUCAUUACACACACCUGGCACUCAUGACAACACGCACCUGUUAAUCAUUAUGAUUUACACAUGGACUUCAUUACCUUCAUCAUUUUCUCCCCUUUAUAUGUCACUCUCUUAUGUUCACUCACUAGUUGGUAUUAUUCUUGUGUACCGGCAUGUAGACAUGGAAUUGUUUUGUUUCAUUAAACAUUUCACCUGCUUCCCGACUCAUAGCUCCAUUAAAAAGAAAACGUAAGACUGGAGGAUAAUGCAUAUUGAUUGACUCAAUCUUUUUUUGACUGAGAAAUCGCUGGAAGUAAAGUAUCUCAUUUGCAUGUCAGGGUAAUUGCAAAUGCAUCCAAGUUUUAUAGCUUGAUGAGUCACAAGCUUGAUGUAGUCAUUGUGUGCUGAGAAUAUGGGACCAAAUGCUAAACUUUUGACUACUUUAUUGAUAAUCUUUAGGUGUGUCAAAUGUUUUUAAUGACCUGCAAACACACCCCGGUAACAGCUGAAUUGGGCUUUAUGGAAUACAUUGUCUUUCCAUUGCCUCUGUAAGAACGCUAACGCUUCGUGGAGAGUAAACACAUCGUCUAAACACUUGUAUCACAGAAAGGGAAGAAAUAACUUUAUUUUGAUGCGUGUUCAUUUAUUGUGGAAUUGAAAAGAAAUAUCACUUAAUACAGUUGAAAUGUUAACAAAUGCGCUGAAAUGAACAAUUUCCAAUAAUUUACACUCGGAUAUAGUGAUAUUAUAUCUGAUCUCGCAAACAAUAAAAAGUAUGUGUACUGUAUAAUCUAGAGCCAAUCCUGUUUUUUAAUCCGAGGGUAUCCUGCUAUUGACACUUGUUGAAUAAUGCAACAGAACGUGACAACAGUAGGCAGUGUAGACAGCGCAGGUGAGUUCCGGUAGGCACUGCACUGGAUUACUGCCGUUGUACUGGCUCAUGACCAAUUCUCGCUAUUUCAUGUGUGUUUUUUUGAGCUGAUCUUAACUUGUAUUGCACAUGUUUCCGCCAUUUCCUAUGAUUGAAAAUAGCUUCUGAACAUCAGAACAGUGAUCACUAGCUGUCACGUCCUGACCAGUAAAGGGGUUAUUUGUUAUUGUAGUUUGGUCAGGACGUGGCAGUGGGUGUUUGUUUUAUGUGGUUCGGGGUUUGUUGGGCUAUGUGUUUAUUUAGAGGGGUGUUUGUUUAGAGUGUUCCAGGGUUUUUGGUUAAUGUUCUAUGUUAGUAUAUUUCUAUGUUCUAGUCUUUCUAUUUCUAUGUUUAGGGUAUUUGAUUGACCUUCAAUUGGAGGCAGCUGUUCCUCGUUGCCUCUGAUUGAAGGUCCUAUAUAUAGGGAUGUUUUGCUAUGGGGGUUUGUGGGUAGUUGUCUCCAGUUUAGUGUCUGAGCACCUGAUAGGACUGUUAGUGUCGUUAGUGUCAUUCGUUCGUUUUGUAUACGUG